AUGUUCGCCCUAACCACCACUCGUCGACUUCAUCUUCUUUCGUUUUCUAACGCUUCGAGUUUCUCUCAUGAAUUCCCGCUCAACCAAGAUGCGCUCCUCGGAUCUCUCACACUCCAAGGACAAAUUAAAUGUUUCAGAUUGAAAUCAGAAUGCGAUGAUGACGCUACCAGUAAUGUUCUUCUAAAUUCUUCUUCGCUUGUUCUUAUUUCCACAUUUCAGCUGAGUCGCUGUUGUGAUGUUCUUGAGAUCUUGAUGCGGAGAUGCUGA